rnacentral:rRNA from 1 species
UACGAAGGGGGCUAGCGUUGCUCGGAAUCACUGGGCGUAAAGCGCACGUAGGCGGAUUGUUAAGUCGGGGGUGAAAUCCUGGAGCUCAACUCCAGAACUGCCUUCGAUACUGACGAUCUCGAGUCCGGAAGAGGUGAGUGGAACUCCUAGUGUAGAGGUGGAAUUCGUAGAUAUUAGGAAGAACACCAGUGGCGAAGGCGGCUCACUGGUCCGGGUACUGACGCUGAGGUGCGAAAGCGUGGGGAGCAAACAGG